rnacentral:rRNA from 1 species
GAUGAACGCUGGCGGCGUGCUUAACACAUGCAAGUCGAACGAAGCACUUUAUUUGAUUUCCUUCGGGACUGAUUAUUUUGUGACUGAGUGGCGGACGGGUGAGUAACGCGUGGGUAACCUGCCUUGUACAGGGGGGUAACAGUUGGAAACGGCUGCUAAUACCGCAUAAGCGCACGGCAUCGCAUGAUGCAGUGUGAAAAACUCCGGUGGUAUAAGAUGGACCCGCGUUGGAUUAGCUAGUUGGUGAGGUAACGGCCCACCAAGGCGACGAUCCAUAGCCGACCUGAGAGGGUGACUGGCCACAUUGGGACUGAGACACGGCCCAAACUCCUACGGGAGGCAGCAGUGGGGAAUAUUGCACAAUGGGCGAAAGCCUGAUGCAGCGACGCCGCGUGAGCGAAGAAGUAUUUCGGUAUGUAAAGCUCUAUCAGCAGGGAAGAUAAUGACGGUACCUGACUAAGAAGCACCGGCUAAAUACGUGC